rnacentral:tRNA from 1 species
GUCGCGACCGGGCUGGAGCUCACGGGCCUCAUGCGCCCGUUCGACCUGGAGGUGUGGUUCGGGGAGCGCGUCGCGGUGC